rnacentral:lncRNA from 1 species
CCAUAAGUCAAUCAUGGACCUGCCUUUGAAGCUCCUUCUGCUCCUCAGCUCCUGACUCUGUGAACUGUGGUGCCCAUGCACGCUGUCUCGUGUCGGAGAAUGUUAGGUUCCUGUUGCAUGAUUUCUCCCAUGCUCUCACCAAGUUCACCUCUGCUGGGAUUUCAGGAAAUUGGUGCAAGGCCCAUCUCUUAGACAUUGACCAUGACCAUCAGCAAAACCUGGUGGUUCUGUUCUCACAGUCACUCAACAAGAGUAUUUAGUGUAACAGAACUAGAUUUUUAAAAAAGGAGUUAGAAUCGUGUCUUUGUGCAAUGUGUGUAAAGUCCUCAGAUGUAAGGUGCUAUUGAGUCCUACCAUCCCUGUUUUGGAAUGCUUUUCGUGAUUGUUGCUCCAUUUUGUGAUGUGCAGGGAGACUGCUUGCUUAGUUGUGGCUGUCACUUUGAGCUGUGCACAUAGGAGUCCAAUUUUGACAUAUCUAAAAUACAAUUUUUAGCUCUUUUUCAAGCCAGGUCUUGAGCAGUUUUCUUGGCUGAUGGACCACCUUUCCCUGUCGGGGUGAUUUUAUUGGUUUUAAGUGGGGGAAAUAAUCCAAUGUUAUUUAUUUUUAAAAUGUGUAGAAGAUCCUUCUUGGUGGCUUCUCUUGGCCCUUUCCUCUUGCCCAAACCCUCCACUCUGAAAGGCAGCAAGCAGCCUUCCCUCAGCAGAGGCGCUGGCUGCCGAGGGCCCAGUACCUUGACAGCUUUGGAUCCUCUUCAAAGCCAAAUACACACGUGACUAAAAUCCUUGAAAGUAUAUAGUGUAGCACUAAAUGGAAAUUUGAGUCUUGAGUUUGAUGGUGGAUUUUAAUGUAGUGGGUGAAGGUAUGAAUUCAUGUUUUAUAACUGUAGAGGCAAGUGAGUUUUUACUUUUUAAAAAGUUUUAAGAGGAAAAUUCUAAGUUUCUGUGCAGCAAAGUGGCUAAUUACUCAUUAAACACUAGAAAAGAAUGUCGUGUCUAAAUCCAGAUUGUUCUUCCCUCUGGUACACUUCAGAUUACUCGCCUCGGGUGUAUUGAGGGAUUGUAACCCUGAGUUUUAUCAGCUUUCCUAGUUUUAUUUUAUUUUUGUAAAAUAAAUGAAAAAGAACCAAAAAUGAAUUUGAAAGUUCCAUAGGUAGAUCUUGUCCCUUCUUAAUUUUCCCCCACAAUAAAACAUUUUAGAAGACAUUUCGAAUCCAAAUGUAUUACGACCCUUUAAAGUUUACUGUUUUCUCAGAAGCCGAGCAGCUACAAGGGCCUCAUUUCAGGUGGUACUCUGCGUGUUGUCCACGGACUCGUCUGUACCUGUGCGGUGGGUCUAUGUGACGAUGUCUUAUGUUUGCAAUAUAGAAACCGUGCAGUGCUGUUUUGUAAAUUGACAGUUCUUGUAUAAACUAGUAUUUAUAUACAUUGGCCUCUCUGUAUAACUUUUCAUUUGCUACAUGAAUUGUAAAAUUAAUUAUAAAAUUAUAGUACCUGCUAAAUACAAUUCUGAGGCUUCAUGUCCUUGUCUUUAGUUGAAUAUCAUUCUCUGUUUUGAGGAUGUCCAAUGCUUGCAUGAUGCUAGGUGGUAAUACCACUUUAAAUUAAGCCUUAAUCAGAUGUUAAAUUUGUAAGUUUCAGAGUAUGCAAAAAUAUUAGGCAGAGUGAGUUUAAAAUGUUCCGAUCAAGAUGCUAUUUCAUAAUUCAACAAGUCUUUCCUCUGGGGUUACAAAGGGAAAUGUUCAAUGAUACAGAUCUCUCUCGCUCGCUCGCUCUCUCUCUCGCUCUCUCUCUCGCUCGCGCUCGCUCUCGCUCGCUCUCUCUCUCUCUCGCUCUCUCUCAUCUGGCUUGGCUGUUGCCAUCACUUGAUGAAAUUGGAUCAUUGUGCAUUUUUCUGGCAGUCAGUCAAAAAGACCUGUUCUGAAAGUCUUCAGACUUUUUCAGGGUUAUUUUUAAGUGUUUGAAUUGUUUUCCCUCCAGUCUGAGAUUUAUUCAUGGCUGAUGGAAAGUAUGAUUUGGGCGUCACCUUAUCUGCAAACCUGCUCGUGCUCUGAGCUUUCUUCAGGUAGUGCCACCUGUCAUCGCCUCUGCAUAUGAUUAAGUGGGUUUUUGUUUUUGUAAAAGCAUCUUAAAUUUAGACAGAAAUGGAGGGGACCCAGCUUUCUUUACAAUGCGGAUCUACCUCAGUUAAACAGUUGGGUGCUAUUUACUAAGUUUGUCAAAUUAAUUGGAAAAAGUAACCAAACAGUGAGAUGCAACUCCACACAAAGCUUGAAAUCAUAAUUUCCAUUUAUUUAAUAAUAUUUUUAUUUAUUUUGUGCCUUUUAUGUUGAAUCCUAACGCAUUGAAAAAAAUCACUAUGAAAUUAAAUAUUUUAUAUAGCAGGUGGGGAGCAAAGCCCAUUGGCCGUGGAAUUUGAUAGAUUUCCCCCAGCCAACUACUGACAUGUAUUGGAAUCCCAACUGCCCUCUUGU